CGACUUUAAGGAACAAAGCCAAGUGCAUCUCAUACAUGCGCCAAGAAGACAACAUAUAUAAUAACAGAGUGUAUAGAGAUAAAUGUCAUAAAACAUCAGAGUAAUUAUUACAUAGCGGAAGACUUAUUACAAAAUAAAAUAAUAAAGAUAAAACGAACUAAGGAUCGUCGGCGCCAAUGUCAACUGGGAAACGCCACCUAGAUCAGAUCGAACUCCUCAGUGUUAGGCGGCUCCUCCUGAACCACCUGAUCUUCUCCUGUGGGGGGGGGGUGUGAGACAGCAAGAGUGAGCUCACACAUGAUCAUAGCUCAACAAGUUGUGGGGAACCAGUGGACAUAAACUCACAAAGGUGUGAGUUCAUGUGAUGUGUAAGGCUAAUCAAUGAUAGGGGUUAAAGCUGAGCAUUGCUUUUAAGUAGUUGGUCAAAAUUUUAUUAGCAAUUACUAAGUGUAAGUAAAUACCAAACCAUAAGUAAAGUAAUAGAACAAAAUUAAUAACAAUCCCAUGCAAUGCAAAUGACCAAAUUGAAUUUAAGUUCCAUAAUUUAAACAUCAGAGAGUCCUGAGCUGCUCAUGACCGCGAGCACGGCUAGUAUACCAGUUUUACACUCUGCAGAGGUUGUACCCUUUACCCACAAGUCAUGCUACCCAUCUGCCAAGGGGUCGCGAAUCCCAUACACCUCUACCUAGGAAGCGCGGCAGGGCAACACUAUGAGGCCUUUACAAAGUUCCACUAGCUUCCGAAAACCCGCUACAGUUUAUAGGAAGUUCCAAUGCAGGGUUCCUGGCUGACCGCCAUCGCAGCAAAAUCAACCAGGGACCUCCCUACACUGACCACUCCCCUACUGCCCUUGCCCCUUUCGGGUAAGGUAGUCUUCCACUAGCUUUCCUAAUUAGUCAGCCAAGGGCGUCCCAUUAAACCCUUAUGGUGGCACGUGGUUCUCAAGUUAAGCUCUAUGUUCCAAUUAACAUUAAUGAUCUCAACAUGAACAUAAACAGAAUAACAAGAAUAAUUGGAACAUAGAUAUAAUAAAUGAUUAUCCCAAAACCAUGUAUAGCAAUAGCAAACUACCCAAGUGAUUCAGGGGUAAACAAGGUAAUGAGAUAAACAAUCUAGGGUGACCUAUUGGGUCCCAUCAAAAUUAACCUAUGCAUGAGUGAAUGAUAAUUAGAGAACAUUAUUGGGUAAAAAGUGGUCAAGGGCACAACUUGCCUUCAAUGAGCUCCUGCUCAGCUACUUCAACCUGCUGCUCACCAGGAUCCUC
rnacentral:lncRNA from 1 species